rnacentral:rRNA from 1 species
CCAGUAGCCGCCGGUUCCCCCCUUAAACUUGGCCCCGGGGGAAUGAACCACUUCUUUGGGGAUUAGUGGCGAACGGGUGAGUAACACGUGGGCAAUCUGCCCUGCACUCUGGGACAAGCCCUGGAAACGGGGUCUAAUACCGGAUACUGAUCCUCGCAGGCAUCUGCGAGGUUCGAAAGCUCCGGCGGUGCAGGAUGAGCCCGCGGCCUAUCAGCUUGUUGGUGAGGUAACGGCUCACCAAGGCGACGACGGGUAGCCGGCCUGAGAGGGCGACCGGCCACACUGGGACUGAAACACGGCCCAGACUCCUACGGGAGGCAGCAGUGGGGAAUAUUGCACAAUGGGCGAAAGCCUGAUGCAGCGACGCCGCGUGAGGGAUGACGGCCUUCGGGUUGUAAACCUCUUUCAGCAGGGAAGAAGCGAAAGUGACGGUACCUGCAGAAGAAGCGCCGGCUAACUACGUGCCAGCAGCCGCGGUAAUACGUAGGGCGCAAGCGUUGUCCGGAAUUAUUGGGCGUAAAGAGCUCGUAGGCGGCUUGUCACGUCGGUUGUGAAAGCCCGGGGCUUAACCCCGGGUCUGCAGUCGAUACGGGCAGGCUAGAGUUCGGUAGGGGAGAUCGGAAUUCCUGGUGUAGCGGUGAAAUGCGCAGAUAUCAGGAGGAACACCGGUGGCGAAGGCGGAUCUCUGGGCCGAUACUGACGCUGAGGAGCGAAAGCGUGGGGAGCGAACAGGAUUAGAUACCCUGGUAGUCCACGCCGUAAACGGUGGGCACUAGGUGUGGGCAACAUUCCACGUUGUCCGUGCCGCAGCUAACGCAUUAAGUGCCCCGCCUGGGGAGUACGGCCGCAAGGCUAAAACUCAAAGGAAUUGACGGGGGCCCGCACAAGCGGCGGAGCAUGUGGCUUAAUUCGACGCAACGCGAAGAACCUUACCAAGGCUUGACAUACACCGGAAAACCCUGGAGACAGGGUCCCCCUUGUGGUCGGUGUACAGGUGGUG